rnacentral:rRNA from 1 species
GUCGAGAAUCUUCCGCAAUGCGCGAAAGCGUGACGGAGCGACACCGCGUGAUGGAUGAAGUCCUUCGGGGCGUAAACAUCUUUUAUAAAGGAGGAAAUUUUUGACGUUACUUUAUGAAUAAGGGGCUCCCAAUCUCGUGCCAGCAGGAGCGGUAAUACGAGAGCCUCAAGCGUUAUCCGGAAUCAUUGGGCGUAAAGGGUGCGUAGGUGGUUUGAUUAGUCUCCCGUUAAAACUUCGAGCUUAACUCGAAAAGAGCGGGGGAAACGGUCAAACUAGAGUAUGUGAGAGGGGUGUGGAACUCAUGGUGUAGGGGUGAAAUCCGUUGAUAUCAUGGGGAACACCAAAAGCGAAGGCAGCACACUGGCACAUCACUGACACUGAGGCACGAAACCUAAGGUAGCGAAUGGGAUUAGAAACCCGAGUAGUCC